rnacentral:rRNA from 1 species
GACGAACGCUGGCGGCGUGCUUAACACAUGCAAGUCGAACGGAAAGGCCUUUUCGGAGGUACUCGAGUGGCGAACGGGUGAGUAACACGUGGGUGAUCUGCCCUGCACUCUGGGAUAAGCCUGGGAAACUGGGUCUAAUACCGGAUAGGACCGCACUUUAGUGUGUGUGGUGGAAAGUUUUUUCGGUGUAGGAUGAGCCCGCGGCCUAUCAGCUUGUUGGUGGGGUAAUGGCCUACCAAGGCGGCGACGGGUAGCCGGACUGAGAGGUUGGUCGGCCACAUUGGGACUGAGAUACGGCCCAG